CGUGAAGGAUAAUGUUGCUUUAGCAACGGCCCGAAGGGCGAGGCAAAGCCGAGUCAUCCUGCACGACCCACCA
rnacentral:sRNA from 2 species